CCUACGGGUGGCAGCAGUGGGGGAUAUUGCACAAUGGGGGAAACCCUGAUGCAGCGACGCCGCGUGGGUGAAGAAGCGCCUCGGCGCGUAAAGCCCUGUCAGCAGGGAAGAAAAUUACGGUACCUGAAGAAGAAGCCCCGGCUAACUACGUGCCAGCAGCCGCGGCAAUACGGAGGGGGCAAGCGUUAUCCGGAUUUACUGGGUGUAAAGGGGGCUCAUAGGGCGAUGCAAGCCAGGAGUGAAAGCCCGGGGGCCAACCCCGGGACUGCUCUUGAAACUGCGUGGCGAGAGUGCAGGAGGGGCAGGCGGAAUUCCUGGUGUAGCGGUGAAAUGCGUAGAUAUCAGGAGGAACACCGGUGGCGAAGGCGGCAUGCUGGACUGCAACUGACGUUGAGGCCCGAAAGCGUGGGGAGCAAACAGGAUUAGAUACCCGAGUAGUC
rnacentral:rRNA from 1 species